UGGCUCUGGGGACCCAAAUGUCCCACUGGGAUCGACCCCUGGUCUCCAGGUGGCUUUGGGACAUGGUAGCUUUGGGAUCCUGGGGGUUUUGGGGUCCCUGAUGGUUUUGGGGACACCAAGGUCCUGGCAGGAGCAGAUGCAGGUGGCUUUGGGGACAUGGUAGCUUUGGGAUCCAGGAGAUUUUGGGACCCCUGAUGGCUUUGGGGACACAGAAGUCCUUUCAGGAGGCGCCUUUGGGCCACAAAGGUCCUGGCAGAGGGUGGCUCUGGGGACACCAAGGUCCUGGCAGGAGCGGAUCCAGGCAGCUUUGGGAACCCAAACAUCCCCCCAGGAUGAAAUCCUUGCGCCUGGGUGCCUUUGGGGACGGGUUGUCACCUUUGGGGUGGCUUUUGGGACCCGUGGUGGCACGGGGGAGGGGAGGGAGAAGGGGGGGGUCCCAGAUUUGUGGUGUCCCUGCAGAAGAGCGCCCGUUACCUGCAGCAGGAGCUGCCCGUCCGCAUCGCCCACCGCAUCAAAGGCUUCCGCAGCCUCCCCUUCAUCAUCGGCUGCAACCCCACCAUCCUCCACGUGCACGAGCUCUACAUUCGCGCCUUCCAGAAGCUCAUCGAUUUCCCACCAGUGAGUGUCACAUUUGUGUCACCUCGUGUCACCCCUGGGUCCUCGUGUCACCCUGUCCUCGUGUCACCUCGUGUCACCCUGUCCUUGUGUCACCCCUGGGUCCUGGUGUCACUUCUGGGUCCUGGCGCCCCUUCUCGGUCCGUCCUUGUGUCACCCCUGGGUCCUGGUGUCACUUCUGGGUCCUGGUGUCACCCUGUCCUUGUGUCACCUCGUGUCACCCUGUCCUCGUGUCACCCCUGGGUCCUGGUGUCACUCCUGGGUCCUCGUGUCACCCUGUCCUCGUGUCACCUCGUGUCACCCUGUCCUUGUGUCACCCCUGGGUCCUGGUGUCACUUCUGGGUCCUGGUGUCACUUCUGGGUCCUGGUGUCACUUCUGGGUCCUGGUGUCACCCUGUCCUUGUGUCACCUCGUGUCACCCUGUCCUCGUGUCACCCCUGGGUCCUCGUGUCACCCUGUCCUUGUGUCACCCUGUCCUUGUGUCACCCCUGGGUUCUGGUGUCACCCCUGGGUCCUCGUGUCACCCUGUCCCGAUGUCACCCUUGGGUCCUCAUGUCACCUCGUGUCACCAUCACCUCAUGUCCCCCUGUCCUGCUGUCACCCCUGGGUCCUCAUGUCAGCCUGUCCCCACGUCACCCCAUCCCCAUGUCCCCUGCUUGUCUCUGUCACCCUGUCCCCGUGUCCCCUGCCUGUUUGUGUCACUCCCUCCCCACGUCACCCCAUCCCCAUGUCCCCAUGUCCCCCCAUCCCCACAUCACCCUACAGCCACAUCACCCCAUCCCCAUGUCCCCUUGUCCCCAUGUCCCCUGC
rnacentral:lncRNA from 1 species